rnacentral:rRNA from 1 species
AUACGUAGGUGGCAAGCGUUGUCCGGAUUUAUUGGGCGUAAAGCGAGCGCAGGCGGUUUCUUAAGUCUGAUGUGAAAGCCUUCGGCUUAACCGGAGAAGUGCAUCGGAAACUGGGAGACUUGAGUGCAGAAGAGGACAGUGGAACUCCAUGUGUAGCGGUGAAAUGCGUAGAUAUAUGGAAGAACACCAGUGGCGAAGGCGGCUGUCUGGUCUGUAACUGACGCUGAGGCUCGAAAGCAUGGGUAGCGAACAGGAUUAGAUACCCUGGUAGUCCAUGCCGUAAACGAUGAAUACUAGGUGUUGGAGGGUUUCCGCCCUUCAGUGCCGCAGCUAACGCAUUAAGUAUUCCGCCUGGGGAGUACGACCGCAAGGUUGAA